rnacentral:snRNA from 1 species
GUGCUCGAUUCAGCAGCACAUAUACCAAAAUUGGAACAAUACAGAGAUACAUGGCCCCUGCACAAGGAUAUGCAAAUUCGUGAAGAGUUCCAUAUUUUU